AGAAACCUGGCAUACUAGACCACCACCACCACUUGAUAUCUCCGUUGCCAUUUCAUUUCAUCGCGGCAGCUUCGACGGAGGUUCACAAUGGAUAUAAUUGUUCCUGCAGUCGUAGGUGAUAUUGUCAACAGAGCUGUAUCCUUUGCCAUCAAGAAAUGCUUGCAGCUUCCAAACGUCGACAAGAAUCUGGAGCGGCUAAAUCAGUUGCUUCUAAGAGCCCAUACCAUCACCGAGGAGGCGGAGGGAAGGCUUAUCAACAAUCGAGAGAUGCUCCAGCAGCUGGGGAUAUUGAUAGAAGGGAUGCAGAGAGGCCACUAUAUGCUUGAUAACUUCAAAUGUCGAGCCCUUCAACAAGGGAGAGGGGAUGAGCAUGAGUGCUCUUUGGCAGUAACAACAUAGAAGAUCUACAAGGUAUGAUUGCUACCCUAGAAAAGGCCAUUGCUGACUUGAAGGAGUUUGUUAUUUUUCUGGGGAACUAUCCUCCAAUCUGCCGCUAGCCUUUUCCACAUACUUUAUUUUGGGAAAUUGGUUGUUCUUUUGCCUGAAGGGAUGUGAAUGGUUGAACAACAGAAGCUCUUGGGUUAGAGUUUGCUUGCAUCAAGAAGCUUACUGGUAGAUUUUCAGGAUGCUUGCAUUUGGAAGCGCAAAUCCUGACCUGAUGAGCAACCAACACCUGCAUGGUUAGCCACAGUUAUUGCAACAGAGUCUGAGGGUCCUCCCUUGCCUUCAUACAUGAUUCGUUGAUCAGCAAGAGACAAUUAGUGCUCGAGUCUGGUGCUUGGCUCGUGGAUAUCUGAUGGCAUACACAGACAGGCAGCUCCUUCUGUUUGGUGAACGCCCGAAUGAACUUCUGUUGAGAGAUCAACCAUUACAUUGCUUGAGAAUUGCCUGAAUCCAGUGAUGUGUUCUGGAUUUCAGACUACUACUCCAUGGCGCUUUCCAGGCAGAACCAACUCCUCCAAGAGCAAGAUCACUUUGUCAGAUUCAUGUCAGGAUGUGAUAUGCACUAUUGCCUAUACGAGAGAUUUGAUGCUCCAGGCCACGGGUGCUGAAAGGCGAGGGUGGAGAACGAGAACACGCCGUGGGCAGGAACAGGAAGAAGAGCAGUAUAAAAGCUGCAUUUGAUCUCUAUUGUAAAAGCUGCACUUGCUGAGUAUUCUAAAAGCUGCAGUUGAUGUAUGUAAUUAGUUGUGUGAGUAGUAAAUGGUGAUUACUGAUUGUGAUGUAUGCUACUCAAGCAUUUGCUGGAAAUAUAUAUAUCUGUGGCAUUUUGGCUUUGUUC